rnacentral:rRNA from 1 species
UGAGGAAUCUUGCGCAAUGGGGGCAACCCUGACGCAGCAACGCCGCGUGAGUGAGGAAGGUCUUCGGAUCGUAAAGCUCUGUCGGAUGGAAAGAACCGCAUAGGGGCAAACAGCCCCUGUGUCUGACGGUACCGUCAAAGGAAGCACCGGCUAACUCCGUGCCAGCAGCCGCGGUAAUACGGGGGGUGCAAGCGUUGUUCGGAAUUAUUGGGCGUAAAGAGCGUGUAGGCGGCCGGAUAUGUCAGAUGUGAAAGCCCUGGGCUUAACCCAGGAAGUGCAUUUGAAACUGUCCGGCUCGAGUAGGGGAGAGGGAAGUGGAAUUCCUGGUGUAGAGGUGAAAUUCGUAGAUAUCAGGAGGAACACCGGUGGCGAAGGCGACUUCCUGGCCCUAUACUGACGCUGAGACGCGAGAGCGUGGGUAGCAAACAGG